GCUUCGAUGGUGCAAACGGCUAGCAUGCGCUCCCGGAAAGAGUGAGAUCUGGGUUUGAAUCCCGGCCGACGCA